GUUCAUAUUCUGCUUCUUUGACCAAUGUGUUCAUCUCCACAGAUAGCAUGAAGGGCUAUAAGGAACCAAGUUACAGGUGCCAUCUGCACCACCCAAAACCUCACUUCAAAUCUUGCUGCCACAUGCUGACAACUACUAACAACCACAGGUGAGAGCUGAGUGCAGGAUGGGGGCACCAAGUACUCCAGAAGGAGCACAUGUCCUCCAUGAGAGGGACUACGCCUCUCCUAACACCCCAUCCCUAUACAUCACUGGCUUAUAGAGUAAUCCUAAUUAUGUCUGCUUAGAAUUUAGUCCUGUUAAAUUCAGUGGGGCUUACCUCCAUGUAAGUGGGGCUCAGACUUCCAACUGUAGCAAGGGGGUGAAACCUAAAUUGGAGCUGUGAUGCUCAUUGCUGGAAUGCAUUGCUAUCAAGAAUGUUUCAUCAGAGUGCAGUAAACUAUCCUGACUGCCUCCUCCUUUCAAGUCAAAAUAUACCUAGAAUAAAUGACCUGCAUGACAGUGAAAGCUGAAAGCUGGGCAAGACAGUGAUGCUGAAAAGCAUUGCCAGAAACAGUAAUGUUUAGUUAGAGUGCAGAUGCAAUCAAACGAUGUGAUGGAAAUACUGAAAAAGAUGAAGAAACGAAAGAAGUUAAUUUUGUGGAAAGGUGUAUUAUUUUUUUCUUGACUGUUCUCUUUCCUUUGAUUGUUCGUUUUCUUUUGGAAUUCAAGAAAGCAUUAAAAAAGAAAAAGAAGAAACAACAUGUUUCUUCCUUAUUUCUGCUGAAAACAGAAACAUGGGCUUUUCAAAAUGAGAAACAUGACACUAAAUCCGACAAACAAAGGAGCAGGAUGCAUGGUCCUGUUAGAAUGGAAUGUGAGAUCAGUUGACAGCCAGCUGUGGCAUGGGACCACAGAGAGCUACAAUGCACAAGCCAUGUACAACAGGGAUGUGGAAACGGUGCAUAAAGUAGCUAGGUAUUACAGACCCAGACUCCUAGUGUACAAUAUACCACCUUGUGGCCAUUACUGUGAUAGUUCCAUCAGAAUAAAGAGGACAUGGUUGCUUUAUAACCAAUGACAAUAAGGUAAGCUACUAUUAUGGGGUGGCACUAACUGUGUUUUGCCUGCAGAUAUCUGCACUUUUCCAUAUUAUCCCACUGUCUCUUCUUCCAGGGCAGAGGAGACUCCCAAGGCUAGCAAAGGAUAUCAGGUACUCCUCCCGAAAUAUUUCCUGGUACCCUUGCAGCUGCCCCAUACAUCUGCACAGAAAAAUAGCAGAACUAUAUGAAUCAGAGUGUUGUGCAUAAAGCCGAACCUUUUUUAAAAAAAAACCAACCCCAAAGCAAACCUGGUGGAACUCUUAUAAGAGGAAACAGAUGAGAAUGACACAUUUAUUGAAUACAAUUCAUGAAAAUAACUCUUAUACACAGAGACAAUCUAAAAGAUCAGAGUGGUGAGAAGGGGGGAGGAGGAAGGUGUGGAGCUGUGGCAACACAUGUGUCAUGCUCCAAGAGGAUGCAGAGGUCAGGCUGCUCAUGUUAUCCAGAGCAUGCUUUCUUUUCUGCCCAGGCUGUUGUAUUCCCCACCCCACCCCCGCAGCUAUCUACAUCAAUUGCUUAAGCCUCCUCCUUUCAAGUUCUUUGUUAUUGUGACUACAGGAGAAAGAGAUGCCAGUUCUGCAACACUGCCAAUGGAAUAUGUGCUGAUCUCAGGGUGCUCUUCUGGUCUGAGGUCAUACUUACAGGCAGUGGCGUCUUUAGCAUAUGCGCCGUCGGGGUGCAAAGAUCCACCCAACACCCCCAAAUUUAGUUUAGCCACCCUUUGGGGGAAAGCCAAAGUUGUUGACAAAAACAUACCUUAUUAAAAUGAGCAAGAGCAAAUUACUUUCUUUCAAUCACAAUAAAGUCAUGCAUGGUUUUAAACGAUUUUAGAUCCUGCAGUUGAUUUUCAGUGCAUCCCUUCCUUUCCUCCACGGCUGGCUCUGGGGCUAGCUAGCAGGACACAAGAAGCUCUGUGGCAGAACUGGUUACAGUGAAAAUAUGGAAGGCGAGAGAGGGUGGUGGCAUGCCUGCUCCUUGAUCGCCAUGUGUUCAUCAGCUCUUCUAUACAGAACCUAAAUGUGUAUAACUUCUACAUAUGUAGGUUCAGUGAAGAAGAAUGAAUGACUACGUGAAGAACAAGAAGUGAGUAAGCAGCCUUAUGGCAAGUCAGGCUAUUAAGUCCAUCUAGUGCUGUAUUAUCUAAACUGACUGUCAGCAGUUCUUCCAGGUUUUAGAAAGGGGCAUUUUUUCAAGGGCAGUGAUUUGGAUUGCACCACACGCAUUGUGAAAAGAAUUUAUGGCCUAUUGUAAAUAUUAUUCAUAAAAUAAUCCUCUCUCACUAACUUGAAGUCUCUGCAAGUAUUUAAAUAUUAAAAGUGCAUUUUCAAUGAAGAUUAGUUACACAUUUAUUAAACUAUCCCUACACCCUUCUAGCUCAGAGAAGGCUUUUUUUUUACCUUUCUGGCUUCUUUCGAUAUUUACAAAAUCAGAGUUUAGUACCUAAAUAUAUUUGACAUGCUGUCCUUUUAAAUUAUAAUAAUACUUUGUCUCCUCUCAAGUUCUCUAGGAUGGUUGUUCCAGAUAUUUAAUUUUUUUCUGCCACAAACCUUGACACGUUCUGCCCUUAUAUGGUAGGGAAUAUAAUAAAGAUGAAGAGUGAAUUGAAUUAUUUAUUUCACUUGCCUUAGCUGCCCUACCUCAGUCAUUUGGUCAAUUUUUUAAAAGCUCUCAAGCUGAUGAUAUUUCUGCACUCUUUCACCUCUGUCCUAUUCCAGGCGGCUUCAAGAAAUUACAGCAGGAGAAGCCAGCAUGGUGCCCCCAUGCUUUGCUGUUGUGGGAAUUAUAGUCCAGCAAUGUCUGGGAGGUUCCACAUUGGCUACCCCUGAAUUACGGAGCUGAGUGCUAGCAGCAAACACAACUGCCCUACAGUGUAUGAAUGAACAGAGCAGCUCUCCAUUGACUUCAGUGGCAUAAUAGUAUCCCCAGUCACUUCAAGGGGAAAGAGUUGCACCAUGCUGUAGAAAAACCAGACUAAAC